rnacentral:misc_RNA from 1 species
GAUGAAGAACGCAGCGAAAUGCGAUAAGUAAUGUGAAUUGCAGAAUUCAGUGAAUCAUCGAAUCUUUGAACGCACCUUGCGCCCUUUGGACAUUCCGAAGGGCAUGCCUGUUUGAGUAUCAUGAACACCUCAACUCUCACGGCUUGUCCGUGAUGAGCUUGGACUUUGGGGGUCUUGCCGGCCUGUGGUCGGCUCCUCUCAAAUGGAUCAGCUUGCCAGUGUUUGGUGGCAUCACAGGUGUGAUAACUAUCUGCGCUUGUGGUUUUCCAUCAGAUAACCUUCAGUGAUAUAGAGGUUCGCUGGAGCUCACAAAUGUCUCUCCUUAGUGAGGACAGCUCUUUGAACGUUUGAUCUCAAAUCAGGUAGGACUACCCGCUGAACUUAAGCAUAUCAAUAAGCGGAGGA